CGAAUUUGGUUUCAGCGGUCUUGUACACCCUGCUACCUAGGUUCAGAAACUUGCCGGUUUAUGAACCGUCGAAAAAACCACCUUGCCGGGUGGUUUUUUCGU
rnacentral:antisense_RNA from 1 species